rnacentral:snoRNA from 1 species
GUGGUUGUCUCAGUGUGGCUGUGAGCUGAUCAGUGCUGUAGUCCUGGACACCACACAGAGUGAUGCUGGUUCCUACCGACGGGGCCUGUUGAGAUCUUGCUUUCCCUGUGCGAUGGUGCCACACACA